UACGUAGGGUGCAGGCGUUAAUCGGAAUUACUGGGCGUAAAGCGUGCGCAGGCGGUUUGCUAAGACAGGUGUGAAAUCCCCGGGCUUAACCUGGGAACUGCGCUUGUUACUGGCAAGCUGGAGUGUGGCAGAGGGGGGUGGAAUUCCACGUGUAGCGGUGGAAUGCGUAGAGAUCCGGAAGAACACCGGUGGCGAAGGCGGUUGGCUGGGCAGGUGCUGACACUGAGGCGCGACAGCGUGGGGAGCAAACAGG
rnacentral:rRNA from 1 species